rnacentral:rRNA from 1 species
CGGCGGACGGGUGAGUAACACGUGGGUAACCUACCUAUAAGACUGGGAUAACUUCGGGAAACCGGAGCUAAUACCGGAUAAUAUUUCGAACUGCAUGGUUCGAUAGUGAAAGAUGGUUUUGCUAUCACUUAUAGAUGGACCUGCGCCGUAUUAGCUAGUUGGUAAGGUAACGGCUUACCAAGGCGACGAUACGUAGCCGACCUGAGAGGGUGAUCGGCCACACUGGAACUGAGACACGGUCCAGACUCCUACGGGAGGCAGCAGUC